CUUUAAGCAACCUUCGUGAGCUUUAUAGCUUUUCCAUAUGGAUCAUCAGAAGAAAAACCAUCACUUCCCUACUUUGUACAAGAAGUUCAGGUGUACAUCUUUGGGAAGACCAUCAGAGAAGUGAGGCCGGGCUCCUCUUCUUGCAUCCUACCAGUAUUGAUUAACUUCUACAAAUGGGCUGAAAAGACCAACGACCAUAAACAGUAUACCUACUUCAGAAACUUAAA